rnacentral:rRNA from 1 species
UACGUAGGUGGCAAGCGUUGUCCGGAAUUAUUGGGCGUAAAGCGCGCGCAGGCGGUUUCUUAAGUCAGGGGUGAAAUCCUGGAGCUCAACUCCAGAACUGCCUUUGAUACUGAGGAUCUUGAGUACGGGAGAGGUGAGUGGAACUGCGAGUGUGGAGGUGAAAUUCGUAGAUAUUCGCAAGAACACCAGUGGCGAAGGCGGCUCACUGGCCCGUUACUGACGCUGAGGCACGAAAGCGUGGGGAGCAAACAGG